rnacentral:rRNA from 1 species
GAUGAACGCUGGCGGCGUGCUUAACACAUGCAAGUCGAACGAUGAAAGCGGGAGCUUGCUCCUGCUGGAUUAGUGGCGAACGGGUGAGUAACACGUGAGCAAUCUGCCCCGAACUCUGGGAUAAGCGUUGGAAACGACGUCUAAUACCGGAUACGACGCGCGAAGGCAUCUUCUGCGCGUGUAAGUAAUUUCGGUUCGGGAUGAGCUCGCGGCCUAUCAGCUAGUUGGUGAGGUAACGGCUCACCAAGGCGACGACGGGUAGCCGGCCUGAGAGGGUGACCGGCCACACUGGGACUGAGACACGGCCCAGACUCCUACGGGAGGCAGCAGUGGGGAAUAUUGCACAAUGGGCGAAAGCCUGAUGCAGCAACGCCGCGUGAGGGACGACGGCCUUCGGGUUGUAAACCUCUUUUAGUAGGGAAGAAGCGAAAGUGACGGUACCUGCAGAAAAAGCACCGGCUAACUACGUGCCAGCAGCCGCGGUAAUAC